CGAACCCACUCUCCACCGCUCACAGCCCCACUCCCCUAUCCCAUUUUUCCCACUCCUCUCCCCACAUCCCAAUCCUCGCGGUGAGGUCCUAGCCGGCGACCCGACGACGAGCGCGAGAGGACGGCGAGGAGAGGUCGGGGACGGACUCGUCCGACCGCUCCUCUAGCGACGGAGCGGAGGACGGGGGGCAACAGAGGUGGCGGGUGGAGCCUGUCGAGGGCCCGACGAGGUGAGGUCCUGGCCGGUGACGGACUCGCCCAACCACUCCCCCGAAUACGGAACGGGAGGUCGUCGGCGUCCACAUCGUCGUCGUCCGUGACGCUUGGGGAUGGGCUCGCCUCCGCUGCGCCGCCCUCCGCACAAGGAGGUCCACAGCGACGCGACCUUGACGGCGCGCCAUCCCCGGCGACGCGCUCUACGCCCGUUCCUCUUGGCAAGACCGGCGGCCGCAGCGGCCCACGAAGCUCCUCCCUUGCGACUCCAUUCCUGUACAUGGUCGACAGCCGUCAGGCAGAAACACCGGGGGCUGGGA
rnacentral:rRNA from 1 species